rnacentral:rRNA from 1 species
UACAGAGGUCUCAAGCGUUGUUCGGAUUCAUUGGGCGUAAAGGGUGUGUAGGUGGCGCGCUAAGUCGGGUGUGAAAUUUCGGAGCUUAACUCCGAAACUGCAUUUGAUACUGGCGUGCUUGAGGACUGGAGAGGAGACUGGAAUUCAUGGUGUAGCAGUAGAAAUGCGUAGAGAUCAUGAGGAAGACCAGUGGCGAAGGCGGGUCUCUGGACAGUUCCUGACACUGAGACACGAAGGCCCAGGGGAGCAAAACGGG